rnacentral:rRNA from 1 species
GACGAACGCUGGCGGCGUGCUUAACACAUGCAAGUCGAACGAAGUGGCGAACGGGUGAGUAACGCGUAAUCAACCUGCCCUUCAGAGGGGAACAACGGUUGGAAACACCUGCUAUUCCCGCAUCCGGAAGGAGGGGGUUGCGUUUGAUUAGCUAGUUGGGGGGGUAACGGCCCACAAAGGCGAUGAUCAGUAGCCGGUCUGAGAGGAGGAACGGCCACAUUGGGACUGAGACACGGCCCAGACUCCUACGGGAGGCAGCAGUGGGGAAUCUUCCGCAAUGGACGAAAGUCUGACGGAGCAACGCCGCGUGAGUGAUGACGGCCUUCGGGUUGUAAAGCUCUGUUAAUCGGGACGCGGUACCGGAAUAGAAAGCCACGGCUAACUACGUGCCAGCAGCCGCGGUAAUUC